rnacentral:rRNA from 1 species
GACGAACGCUGGCGGCGUGCUUAACACAUGCAAGUCGAACGGGCCUUGUCCCCUUUUUUUUUGGGGGUGGGGUUAGUGGCGAACGGGUGAGUAACACGUGAGUAACCUGCCCCUCACUUCUGGAUAACCGCUUGAAAGGGUGGCUAAUACGGGGUGUUCUGGCCUGCUCGCAUGGGUGGGUUUGGAAAGAUUCGACCGGUUUUGGUUGUUUUGGUGGGGGAUGGGCUCGCGGCCUAUCAGCUUGUUGGUGGGGUGAUGGCCUGCCAAGGCUUUGACGGGUAGCCGGCCUGAGAGGGUGGGCGGUCACACUGGGACUGAGACACGGCCCAGACUCCUACGGGGGGCAGCAGUGGGGAAUAUUGCACAAUGGGCGCAAGCCUGAUGCAGCGACGCCGCGUGAGGGAUGGAGGCCUUCGGGUUGUGAACCUCUUUCGCCAGUGAAGAAGGUCCUGCUCUUUGUGGUGGGGUUGACGGUAGCUGGGUUAAUGAAGCGCCGGCUAACUACGUG